rnacentral:rRNA from 1 species
AUACAUGCAAGUCGAGCGGACAGAUGGGAGCUUGCUCCCUGAUGUUAGCGGCGGACGGGUGAGUAACACGUGGGUAACCUGCCUGUAAGACUGGGAUAACUCCGGGAAACCGGGGCUAAUACCGGAUGGUUGUUUGAACCGCAUGGUUCAAACAUAAAAGGUGGCUUCGGCUACCACUUACAGAUGGACCCGCGGCGCAUUAGCUAGUUGGUGAGGUAAYGGCUCACCAAGGCAACGAUGCGUAGCCGACCUGAGAGGGUGAUCGGCCACACUGGGACUGAGACACGGCCCAGACUCCUACGGGAGGCAGCAGUAGGGAAUCUUCCGCAAUGGACGAAAGUCUGACGGAGCAACGCCGCGUGAGUGAUGAAGGUUUUCGGAUCGUAAAGCUCUGUUGUUAGGGAAGAACAAGUACCGUUCGAAUAGGGCGGUACCUUGACGGUACCUAACCAGAAAGCCACGGCUAACUACGUGCCAGCAGCCGCGGUAAUACGUAGGUGGCAAGCGUUGUCCGGAAUUAUUGGGCGUAAAGGGCUCGCAGGCGGUUUCUUAAGUCUGAUGUGAAAGCCCCCGGCUCAACCGGGGAGGGUCAUUGGAAACUGGGGAACUUGAGUGCAGAAGAGGAGAGUGGAAUUCCACGUGUAGCGGUGAAAUGCGUAGAGAUGUGGAGGAACACCAGUGGCGAAGGCGACUCUCUGGUCUGUAACUGACGCUGAGGAGCGAAAGCGUGGGGAGCGAACAGGAUUAGAUACCCUGGUAGUCCACGCCGUAAACGAUGAGUGCUAAGUGUUAGGGGGUUUCCGCCCCUUAGUGCUGCAGCUAACGCAUUAAGCACUCCGCCUGGGGAGUACGGUCGCAAGACUGAAACUCAAAGGAAUUGACGGGGGCCCGCACAAGCGGUGGAGCAUGUGGUUUAAUUCGAAGCAACGCGAAGAACCUUAACCAGGGGUCUUGACAUCCUCUGACAAUCCUAGAGAUAGGACGUCCCCUUCGGGGGCAGAGUGACAGGUGGUGCAUGGUUGUCGUCAGCUCGUGUCGUGAGAUGUUGGGUUAAGUCCCGCAACGAGCGCAACCCUUGAUCUUAGUUGCCAGCAUUCAGUUGGGCACUCUAAGGUGACUGCCGGUGACAAACCGGAGGAAGGUGGGGAUGACGUCAAAUCAUCAUGCCCCUUAUGACCUGGGCUACACACGUGCUACAAUGGACAGAACAAAGGGCAGCGAAACCGCGAGGUUAAGCCAAUCCCACAAAUCUGUUCUCAGUUCGGAUCGCAGUCUGCAACUCGACUGCGUGAAGCUGGAAUCGCUAGUAA